rnacentral:lncRNA from 1 species
UUCAAAAUACAUUACCUUUGUGCGGAUAGUCGAUCGCCGUAAUCUGAUCACCAUCGGAAGGGUCUGAUCAUUGCAAUACAGUCAUACAGUGUGUCUGACCUCUACGGAUCAUCCACACAAAGCUCUUGAUCUGAUCGGCUCCUCACGAAUGCUAGUUCGUGACAAAACCCUUUCGACGACCGAUGUUGAUCAAACUCCUUCGAUCUUGAUAUACCGACUCUUUGGAUUGGAUGCUUCAGAUCAUCAGCAGAGGUACUUGAGAGGUUGAUGAAUCUCUCCUUGA